AGAGUUUGAUCCUGGCUCAGGAUGAACGCUAGCUACAGGCUUAACACAUGCAAGUCGAGGGGAAACGACAUCGAAAGCUUGCUUUUGAUGGGCGUCGACCGGCGCACGGGUGAGUAACGCGUAUCCAACCUGCCCACCACUUGGGGAUAACCUUGCGAAAGUAAGACUAAUACCCAAUGACGUCUCUAGAAGACAUCUGAAGGAGAUUAAAGAUUUAUCGGUGAUGGAUGGGGAUGCGUCUGAUUAGCUUGUUGGCGGGGUAACGGCCACCGAAGGCGACGAUCAGUAGGGGUUCUGAGAGGAAGGUCCCCACAUUGGAACUGAGGACACGGUCCAAAACUCCGUACGGAGGCA
rnacentral:rRNA from 1 species